rnacentral:rRNA from 1 species
UGGGGAAUAUUGGACAAUGGGGGGAACCCUGAUCCAGCCAUGCCGCGUGUGUGAAGAAGGCCUUAUGGUUGUAAAGCACUUUAAGCGAGGAGGAGGGUACUGGUAUUAAUACUACCAGGUACUGGACGUUACUCGCAGAAUAAGCACCGGCUAACUCUGUGCCAGCAGCCGCGGUAAUACAGAGGGUGCGAGCGUUAAUCGGAGUUACUGGGCGUAAAGCGUGCGUAGGCGGCUAAUUGAGUCGGAUGUGAAAUCCCCGAGCUUAACUUGGGAAUUGCAUUCGAUACUGGUUAGCUAGAGUGUGGGAGAGGAUGGUAGAAUUCCAGGUGUAGCGGUGAAAUGCGUAGAGAUCUGGAGGAAUACCGAUGGCGAAGGCAGCCAUCUGGCCUAACACUGACGCUGAGGUACGAAAGCAUGGGGAGCAAACAGG